rnacentral:ncRNA from 1 species
ACGAAAACGUUGAACGAAUGAGUAAGUCGUGAUGGAGUUCAGAAAGACGGUGGUCGCUGUGAACCGUUCCCUUAACUACUGAAGAUGGUUCGGGAGUUGUUUUAUAGUCGAGCGUAUUGUAAGACUAUGCUGGUCGGUUCAUUAUUCCAACAGUUUAGACUGAGUAAGAAAGUAGGUGUGAACCUGCUUUGAAACAGGGUGGUACCACGAGAACACGUCCCUGUC